rnacentral:rRNA from 1 species
UACAGAGGUCCCAAGCGUUGUUCGGAUUCACUGGGCGUAAAGGGUGCGUAGGUGGCCAGGUAAGUUUGGUGUGAAAUCUCCGGGCUUAACCCGGAAAUGGCAUUGAAUACUAUCUGGCUCGAGGUUUGUAGGGGGGACUGGAAUUCUCGGUGUAGCAGUGAAAUGCGUAGAUAUCGAGAGGAACACCAGUGGCGAAGGCGGCCACCUGGACCAACACUGACACUGAGGCACGAAAGCGUGGGGAGCAAACAGG